rnacentral:rRNA from 1 species
ACGCUGGCGGCGUGCUUAACACAUGCAAGUCGAACGGUGACCCAGGGCUUGCCCUGGUGAUCAGUGGCGAACGGGUGAGUAACACGUGGGCAACCUGCCCCUGACUUCGGGAUAACUCCUCGAAAGAGGAGCUAAUACCGGAUACGACCACUUCGGACAUCCGAUGGUGGUGGUAAAGUUUUUCGGUCAGGGAUGGGCCCGCGGCCUAUCAGCUAGUUGGUGGGGUAAUGGCCUACCAAGGCGACGACGGGUAGCCGGCCUGAGAGGGCGACCGGCCACACUGGGACUGAGACACGGCCCAGACUCCUACGGGAGGCAGCAGUGGGGAAUAUUGCGCAAUGGGCGAAAGCCUGACGCAGCGACGCCGCGUGAGGGAUGAAGGCCUUCGGGUUGUAAACCUCUUUCAGCAGGGACGAAGCGAAAGUGACGGUACCUGCAGAAGAAGCACCGGCUAACUACGUG